UACUAGUAGCGGCGCACUAGCUAAUUUUCUGCUGAAGGAAGGAAUCUUGAUAUUUAGGAGGAGCUGGAGUAACAACUCUAAGAGAUGAGAUUUGAGCAGGGUGCAUGCCUCUGCAGCUGUAGCGAACAAAACAUCCAGCCUUCCAGUGCUUGAGAAGGAAACUGAACAUUCUGAAGUGUGAACUGUGAUCACACUGAUAACCGCUGGGGAGAAGACGUGGAAAACGCAUUCAGCUCUCCCUGGUGGCCUCUAAUAUGGUGUAAGGUGAAGCUAAGAGGGAUCUCGACAUCUCCACUGUGAAUGGAUGAGGAACUCAUUGAUCUCGGGGCUUCAAUGUAAUGGAGGGUAGUAGCAAGCUGCACUGCUACUCAGAAGGAGUUCACAAUUUGCAAUUGUUGGCCCCGAUAAAAAAUCGCUUCUUAGGGAACAGCAUGAAAUGCAAUGGCUGGUGUUCAACCUGAUGAGAACACUUGCAAUUUUUAAUACGGACAUACUUUGUUUUCUAGUACUCUGUUUUUUCAGAGAUGUUUAGUUUGUCUAUGUUUGUUACUGCCACUAUGCUUGUGCUUGUUUGUAAUCAAAGAAUUGGGAGUGCAUAUG